rnacentral:lncRNA from 10 species
UGACGAAGGACCCGUGGCUGAAACAAAGUGGUCCAGCGACACUCGCCUGCAGCAAGGCACUUCGGGCUGUCCCCGGCCCCCAGAGCCCGGGCACCGUGGUCAUCAUCGCCAUCCUGUCUAUCCUCCUGGCCGUCCUCCUCACGGUCCUCCUGGCUGUGCUCAUAUACACCUGCUUCAACAGCUGCAGGAGCACUUCCCUAUCAGGCCCAGAGGAGGCAGGGAGUGUGAGAAGAUACACCACGCACCUCGCGUUCAGCACUCCUGCCGAGGGGGCUUCCUGAGGGGUUCCAGAGGGGCCCACGUGUCCCUCCACCUCCUCCCUGGCCCAGGCUGCAGAGCCUGAGCUGGGACACGCCCUGAAGCUUCUGGACCCUGAGAGAGAUUGUUUCUUUUCUUUACUAUUUUUUUUUUUUUUUUUGAGACGGAGUCUCACUCUGUCGCCAGGCUGGCGCGAUCUUGGCUCACUGCAACCUCUGCCUCACGGGUUCAAGCGAUUUUCCUGCUUCAGCCUCCUGAGUAGCUGGGACUACAGGCACACGCCACCAUGCCCAGCUCAUUUUUGUAUUUUUAGUAGAGAUGGGGUUUCACCAUGUUGGCCAGGAUGGCCUCCGUCUCUUGACCUUGUGAUCCGCCCGACUCGGCCUCCCAAAAUGCUGGGAUUACAGGCGUGAGCCAUCAAGUCUGGUGAGAGAGAUUGUUUCUAGAUGAGGGUGGGGGCGGGUGUCCUUAGCCCAAAGCUUGUGCCAGUCUCUAUCAGAAAUAAAUGCCCCCAAAACCUC